rnacentral:misc_RNA from 1 species
GAUGAAGAACGCAGCGAAAUGCGAUAAGUAGUGUGAAUUGCAGAAUUCCGUGAAUCAUCGAAUCUUUGAACGCACAUUGCGCCUCCUGGUAAUCCGUGAGGCAUGCCUGUCCGAGCGUCAGUAAAAAGCAACUCGGCCGCGGCUGGCGGUUGGUGAUGGAGGAAGAGCACGUCUCGUUGUCGGUCUCCCCUCCCAAAAUCAACGGCGGAAUGUCACUGGCACUCGGUGUUGUAGUAUUAUUCGCCGAUCACCCAUUGUUGUUCCUGCCGCCCAAACCCCCACAAUUCUCUUGAUUGACCUCGGAUCAGGUAGGGAUACCCGCUGAACUUAAGCAUAUCAAUAACGGAGG